rnacentral:rRNA from 1 species
UACGAAGGGGGCUAGCGUUGUUCGGAAUUACUGGGCGUCAAGGGCUCGUAGGUGGCCAACUAAGUCGGACGUGAAAUCCCCAGGCUCAACUUGGGAACUGCGUCCGAUACUGGAUGGCUUGAAUUCGGGAGAGGGAUGCAGAAUUCCAGGUGUAGCGGUGAAAUGCGUAGAUAUCUGGAGGAAUACCGGUGGCGAAGGCGGCAUCCUGGACCGAGAUUGACACUGAUGAGCGAAAGCCAGGGGAGCAAACGGG